UGGUAUGAAGAUAACCCGGCUGCCACAUUUAUCAUUUCCCUAAUGGCCAGGGUUAAUUUGGCUGAAUUGGUAGGCUGAGUUAACUGUCCCCUCCUGUUCCAAUAGAUUUUUCUCCUAAAGGUCUAAACUGGGUCAAACAGGACAAAAAACCUUGCCAGAUUAAGGAUGGUCAUGUUUUAAUCAAGGAGUAACCUGUUCUAGUUCUCUGAUUUAAUUGUGUAACAUAACACGAAUCAACAGGAAUAUUCUUCCCU
rnacentral:sRNA from 1 species